rnacentral:rRNA from 1 species
GAUGAACGCUGACAGAAUGCUUAACACAUGCAAGUCCACUUGAACUUCGGUUUGGGUGGCGGACGGGUGAGUAACGCGUAAAGAACUUGCCUCACAGAUAGGGACAACAUUUGGAAACGAAUGCUAAUACCUGAUAUUAUGAUUAUAUGGCAUCGUAUAAUUAUGAAAGCUAUAUGCGCUGUGAGAGAGCUUUGCGUCCCAUUAGCUAGUUGGAGAGGUAACGGCUCACCAAGGCGAUGAUGGGUAGCCGGCCUGAGAGGGUGAUCGGCCACAAGGGGACUGAGACACGGCCCUUACUCCUACGGGAGGCAGCAGUGGGGAAUAUUGGACAAGGGACCAAGAGUCUGAUCCAGCAAUUCUGUGUGCACGAUGAAGUUUUUCGGAAUGUAAAGUGCUUUCAGUUGGGAAGAAAAAAAUGACGGUACCAACAGAAGAAGUGACGGCUAAAUACGUG